UCUCACUUCGUAAAACAUUAUCCCUUUCUUCUUUUUCUCACCGAUCCCUUUCGUCUUCGUUAGUGUCCUUCAUCCUCCCAAUCUUUAUCUUCAACCUCUUAUUUUCCUUAUUUUCCUUCAUUUUUCAAAUCAGUUAAACCAAAAGCUUUUAGGACCAUUUUUAAACAUGCAUGUCUCAUCUGUUCAUAACCAGAUUCAACCAAGGAAACAACCAGGGAUAAUAACCCAAAAAUGAAGAACUUGAGUUUCAGGAAAAAAGGGAGCUCAACAAUCAAUCUAAUUAGAACGUAUUCUCCCUUAUCACAAACUCAGCUGGAGGAACAUGAGACAUGAAAAUUAGCAUCAGAAGAUCAGUUCCAAACUCCUGGACUUAGAAUUUGAUUUUUUGUUUUGUUUUAUGAUGUAAUCAGACAAUCGUAGUUUGUUUUCAAGAUGUAAUAUUUUAUGAAUCUACUAAACAUGUUGUAAACUAUAUUUCUGAAUGUAGUUUUCAGUUAUGAUGGUGAUUCUAAUUUACUAUUCAUUAUU